rnacentral:piRNA from 1 species
UACACAUGUGGGCAUCCAACACGUGA